UGAGGAAUAUUGCGCAAUGGGCGAAAGCCUGACGCAGCGACGCCGCGUGGAGGAUGAAGGUUUUCGGAUUGUAAACUCCUGUUAAGUGGGAAGAAACGACAAAAUAUAAUACAUUUUGUAACUGACGGUACCAUUAAAGAAAGCACCGGCUAACUUCGUGCCAGCAGCCGCGGUAAUACGAGGGGUGCAAGCGUUAUUCGGAAUUAUUGGGCGUAAAGGGUGCGUAGGCGGCGUAUUAAGUCAACUGUUAAAACCUCCAGCCUAACUGGAGAUCAGCAGUAGAUACUGGUAUGCUAGAGGAUGGAAGAGAGAAGUGGAAUUCUUGGAGUAGCGGUGGAAUGCGUAGAUCUCAAGAGGAACACCAAUGGCGAAGGCAGCUUCUUGGUCCAUAUCUGACGCUGAUGCACGAAAAGCGUGGGGAGCAAAACAGGAUUAGAUACCCUGGUAGUCCACGCCGUAAACGAUGAUCACUAGAUGUUAAUUCUGCUUGCAGAAUUAGUGUCGUAGCUAACGCGAUAAGUGAUCCGCCUGGGGACUACGUCGCAAGAUUAAAAC
rnacentral:rRNA from 1 species